UGACACCUUAUAAGAGGUCCAGCCUGCCCGGUGACCUAGUUUAACGGCCGCGGUAUCCUGACCGUGCGAAGGUAGCGUAAUCACUUGUCUUUUAAAUAGAGACUAGUAUGAAUGGCAUCACGAGGGUUGAACUGUCUCCUUUUUCUAAUCAGUGAAACUAAUCUUCCCGUGAAGAAGCGGGAAUUUUUUUAUAAGACGAGAAGACCCUACGGAGCUUAAAACGAAAUAAUACCUGCUGCCCCUCUUAUUUUUUCCCCGGACAUUAACCACUACUCUAGCAUCAUAAUUAUUAGUUUUCGGUUGGGGCGACCACGGAGUAAAAACCAACCUCCGUGUUGAAUGGACUUUUCCCCUAAACAAAAAGCCACGACUUUAAGUAUCAACAAAUUGACAUUAAUUGACCCAAUAUUUUGAUCAACGAACCAAGUUACCCUAGGGAUAACAGCGCAAUCCACUUCAAGAGCUCCUAUCGAAAAGUGGGCUUACGACCUCGAUGUUGGAUCAGGAUUUCCCAGUGGUGCAGCCGCUACUAAAGGUUCGUUUGUUCAACGAUUAAAAU
rnacentral:rRNA from 1 species